rnacentral:rRNA from 1 species
AACGCUAGCUACAGGCUUAACACAUGCAAGUCGAGGGGCAGCGCAGUGUAGCAAUACAUGGGCGGCGACCGGCGCACGGGUGCGCAACGCGUAUCCAACUUUCCCGUUACUCUUGGAUAGCCUUCCGAAAGGGAGAUUAAUACAGGAUGGUGUUCAAAUUUCGCAUGUCAUUUGAACUAAAGAUUUAUCGGUAACGGAUAGGGAUGCGUGACAUUAGGUAGAUGGCGGGGUAACGGCCCACCACGCCUACGAUGUCUAGGGGUUCUGAGAGGAAGGUCCCCCACACUGGAACUGAGACACGGUCCAGACUCCUACGGGAGGCAGCAGUGAGGAAUAUUGGUCAAUGGCCGGAAGGCUGAACCAGCCAAGUAGCGUGAAGGAUGAAGGUUCUAUGGAUUGUAAACUUCUUUUAUACGGGAAUAAAACCGCCUACGUGUAGGUGCUUGUAUGUACCGUAUGAAUAAGCAUCGGCUAACUCCGUGCCAGCAGCCGCGGUAAUACGGAGGAUGCGAGCGUUAUCCGGAUUUAUUGGGUUUAAAGGGAGCGUAGACGGGAUGUUAAGUCAGUUGUGAAAGGCUGCGGCUCAACCGCAGCACUGCAGUUGAUACUGGCGUCCUUGAGUGCGGUUGAGGUAUGUGGAAUUCGUGGUGUAGCGGUGAAAUGCUUAGAUAUCACGAAGAACUCCGAUUG